AUCCAAAAUAUAUAUAUAACAAAU
rnacentral:snRNA from 1 species